UCUCCCCAACCUUCUGAGGUUCCCCCAAUGCUGGUGAUGCAAAGCACAUUUCUGAACACCACCACCUGCCCUUCUUCUUCCAGCCUCGCUGGAAUCUGACCAAUGGGGAGGCCAGGUCUGCAGGGAAGGAGUAGGUGGCCAGAUUCCUUUCCACUUGUUUCCUGCACCUGCAAGAGAAGAACAGAGGCCAUUAUUUGGAUGACUUAUUGUUUCGAGCUUUUGUGUGUUUUGCUUUAUUAUUUUUUUUUUGUAACUUUACAAAAAGCAACAUACAUGCUUUUCAGACUUCAAUUGUUCCUCGCUCCUGACUAUCCCAGCUCACCACCUUGCAACCGGCCAAUCACCGGAUACGUCUUCGUGAACUGCAGCAGAUUUUAUUACUUAUCGAUGCCCCGUGCGGGAGGUGGAGGGUCGGUGAAAUGGCAGAAGCUCAGAGCAGCUGAGGGUGGUUGGACUCAGUGGAAAAUCCAGAAGUGCAGAUGUGGAUCCAAAUUGGGCUGAAAAUCUCAUGAGAUCAGGCUUUCUCGGACUUCCUGCUUUUAGCCUAAGCAGUGUGUUCAACAUAAACGAACUUUCGGUAUUUUGAAACUUCCGUUUCUGAUCUCAGAACCUGGAAGUCGAGAGCUGUUGUGAACAUUUCCACAAAUUUUGUCACGGUCGUUCUGGAGGCCGGGUCGAACCCAGUAAUUAUGGGGCGUUAGGACGUACCACAACCACAGCAGCCUGCCGGGACGGCGACACUAGAGGGAAAGCGGGACUCUGGUUAAGAGCUCUGGAGACAUGCAGGACUGGGUUCAGAUUCUUAGCUCUGCCACUUCUGGCCCUGUGACUUAACCUCUUAGGCUCUCAGUUUCCUCAUCAGUUAGAUGAAGAAAAUGUACCAUUUCAUAAUGCCGUGAGGACAAACUGGGGUGUGUGCGCGCGCAUUCGAUCUGUCCCCUCUUUUCUCAUAUGUGUGUGUCUGAUACGUGCAUAUAUGUACGCCUGCGUGUAUACGUGCAUCUCUGUGUACAUAGAUACAAAGCAUAUGCGUCUGUAUAUAUUACUUACUUACAGCUUGAGCACGUUCUCCUGGGGACCCGAGGGAGCCAGUAUCUGACAGGUGUGGCAUUUGGGAGUUGCUGACAUCUUGCUAAUUAACUCUCCAGUGGGGCUUUGCACCAAGGCAGCGAGGGCUCUGGGUGCACAAAGCAUGAGUUCCCUGGACCUGGAGAGGUCUCAGUUGCUCUCCAGCCACAAGUGAGACUCACAUUGGCCUUGGGAAGCGGAGGUGCGUUCAUCACGUCUGCUUGUGCCGCCCUGGCUUUUCUUGCUCUCCUCAAACAAGCCGAAAGUCAUGCCCGGCAGACAGGUGCCACAGGGCAGCAAGGGGCUGUUGGAGCCCUGUGCGGUCAUCGGUCAGAAGGAAGAGAGCUGCGUAGGGAUGAGAAAGGAGGGGAGACAGAGAGUCAGGGACAGGAUGGUAAGGUCCAUCACAAUCCACCCAGCGCUGAGAAAAAUGGCUCCCUCAGCACACCUCCCUCAGACGCUACACAGGCUGCUCCUUCUUUUCCUUUUCUGUGUUGUAGCUUAAGUUUUUCUUUUGCUCAUCAAAUGCAUCGUGUCUGUUUUUUAAUGUUUUAAAUGUUUAUUUAUUUUUGAGAGACAGAGCAUGAGGGGGGGAGGGGUAGAGAGAGGGAGACACAGAAUCCAAAACAGGCUCCAGGCUCCAGGCACAGAGCCCGACACGGGGCUCGAACUCACAAGAACUGUGAGAUCAUGACCUGAGCCGAAGUCGGACGUUUCACCGACGGAGGUACCUAGGCGCCCCAAACGCAUUAUGUCUUUUUGAAGAAUUUUUUUUUAAAUAGUGAUUUCCAAAGUAAUACAUCAGCUUUGGAUAAACUUUGGAAACUGUGGAAACAUCAUGAAAGAAAACUACAAAAGCACCCGGAGUCCCACUGUGCGGAAAAUAACCGGUUAACGUGUCGGUGUGUUUCCUUAUAGUCUCUUUAGUGCAAAUAUCUAGACAUAUAUGCCUUCUUUUUAUAUAACCAGAAUCAUAUUGUUACCAGGUGGCUCAGUUCUUGCCCCAGAUGCACCAAAGAAUUGGAGACCCAAGAUCAGAAUGGGGAGAAAGAGUUUAUUGAGUAGAUAAGUAUAGUAGGCUUUUAAAAGGGAAAGCGGGCCAUUGCGGGAGCCAGAAUGGCCAUGGCCCUGAGAAGCUCUCACUGCAUCCUUGUAAACCUGUUUUCUGCAUAUGUACACUAUUGUUUUGCAAUCUCCUUUUAGUCUCUUCUUACUAAAUUGUAGAUGUUCCCUGUAUCAUUAAAUACUAUUCUACAGUAUUACUUUAAAAAAAAUUUUUUUUUAAUGUUCAUUUAUUUUUGAGAGAGGGAGAGAGAGAGAGAGACAGAGACAGAGCAUGAGCUGGAGAGGGGUAGAGAGAGAGGGAGACACAGAAUCCGAAGCAGGCUCCAGGCUCUGAGCUGCCAGCACAGAGACCCACGAGGGGCUCGAACUCACGAACCUCGAGAUCAUGACCUGGGUUGAAGCUGGCGCUUAACCGACUGAGCCACCAUCACCACUUCUAAUGGAUGCACAGUAAAUCAUUAAAUGAAGGUUAAGUGCUGGGCUUUCAGUAUAUGUUGUUUUGCUUCUCCCCAGUUUCUGGACCUGGGAUGGCAUUGUUUAACAGGGCUAGACUUACUUCUUUUUGAUUUCAAUAAAGUAUUCUUUCUAGCCUUUAGAAAGAAACCCACAUGAAAUGCUGAAAAAGCGAUGUUAAGAAAAGUCACCGAGUCCCCCUUGAGUCAUAAAGCCAGAGGCUGGGGAGGCGGGGCCCGCCUCAGCUCACCUCCCUGGCCUUGCCCCACGGAAGCCCCGCGGAGACCGGAUUACGGGCAAACCCAGGACCUGAUGUGAUAGCACAAAGACACCCACAACUCCGAAUUUCCUGCUGCCCCGAGGCCUCUUUUUGCAUAGGAUGUUUGACUUACACAUACGUGGAAAGCAACUACUAAGAAUAGAAUAAGAGCUGCCUCUUUUCUUCUGUUGUCACUGCUCAGCAACUCCAGCCUCUGAGGCGGCCGUCUGCCACUCAUCUGCCCCCUCACAGCAAACGGGGUCAGCAGGGCUGGCUGUCAGCAAGAGGCCGGGCCCUUUCGCCUUCUCCUUCUCCGUGUGUGGCAGAGGUUGGGGUGGUAGCCGUCUGAGGGCUCUUUGUCUGGCGAGGGAGCGGGAUCUCUGCCGUGGGAGGGAGCCCCCCUGGCCAGCCCUCUGCCCUUCCCCCUCCAGCCAGCCAACUGAUUUUCUUCUCCUCCAGCCUCCACUUAUCUGAGCUUGCUCAACUCACCUUGAGAAGCUGGAACCUCCCGGCCGCUUUGGUAGAAUCAGUCCUUCCCGGUUGAGUGCUGACAAGUUUGCCCACGAGAAUUCUCUCUGAGUCCCUCAGGACCAUGGCGGCUGACCCCUGCAUGAUGCCUUGCGAAGCCGGCACGGGCAAGCUUCUUCACGAAGGCCUUGACUCUCAUGGUGCCACUUAGUCAAUUGUUCGUUCAUCCCCCUAGCUAUGCACUUAGUGCCUCCUGUUCCAGACACCGUGUUGUGGUAGUGGUGGGAUGGAGAAUAAAACAGACAAGAUUCCCUGCUGCUGUGGAAGAUACAAAGAAUUAUAAGCAAGCCACUGGAAUCAAAGAGUCUGUGGUGGGGGUCUCAGGGGAAACACCCCCUGAGUUACAAAAGACCCUCGAUACUUUUCCAUGCUGUCUGACGUUAGGAUCCUGUCCUUAACCUACCCCCAGCCUCUCUUGAGCCUGGCUCAGCUCACAGCUCUUCUAGGUGCUGAGCUGAAGAGAGACCGAUUUCUUUGUGCAAGAUCCAUUAUGGGCAGGAGAGCAAGCCUGGCUCAAGCAUACAGCUCCACAGACCCUUGUGGUCAGGGAGUUCCUAAAUGAACUCGAACCUUUGGGGGCUGGGAUCUGUUUACUCUUGGCACACUGGGAUUUCCUGUUUCUAAGAAAAUGGGCUUAGAUGCUCAGCUGCAUUAACCAAACAACAUGUUGACGCAAAUGAAUCUGAAACUUGCCAGCUCCAGACUCCCUAGAAGGUCAGCUUUAAGAAUGAAGGGAUUGAAUGACUUUUCAAACCCUGAAUUCUAAGCCAGGUGACCCAGGCCAGGGAUUUAUUGUGGGGGACCUCCUAUCCUACCCUUCUAGUCUAAAACCCCCCUGACUAGCCUUGGAGUCAGAGACUUCCUGGUCAUCCUGGAGCAGGGAGAGGGUGGGAGGAAGAUUUCCCGUGUCCAUGGCUAGCCUUGGACUCCAUCACCAGUAUUCCAUCUGCCUGAAAUGGUCACCAGGAGCUCGUUUCUUUGAGCCUCCGGGAAGCUCACGUCAAAAUGCAAAAGUUACUGGUUGACAUGACUUGAGUGAUUGCAUUUACUACAUGAACUUAGCUGAGCAAGGUCCUGUGAAGGUAGCAAACCGGGCAAGUUUUGACAGGGUGUGGGGGAGGGGAGGGAGAGAAGGCAGAAGAGAAUUUAUCAAGGGAUGCCUUGCAGAGAGGCCCAACCCAGAGAGGGGAAGGCCCCACUGGAGUACAGGAGGAGGAUGUUCAGACAAGGGGCAAAACGGGCUGGAGGCACCAACUGGGUGAUUGUAGACAUCAAAAACCCCGCCUGGCCUACUUGGCUACAGUUGGCCUUCACAGUAAGCAUUCACUUUCUCACCUGUGGCCCUGGGGUAUAAGCGAGCUCUGCAGGGAUAUGGCUGCUCAGGCUCCAGGGGACACAGCUCUCUCUACUGGGAAGAGUUCUGCAAUUUUUAUCAAUACUUGAACUGAGAAACUGAGUGGUAUGGCUUCCACCGUAAAGUGCAACUCUGUGGUUCAAAAAUGUGCAAAUUAUUGGGGAUUUAUUCCAUAACAGAAAUUAUGCUCAUUGAGAUGUGGCUAAUUAAUAUCGCUGCAUCCAGCAGCUAGUCAAAGGAGGUCAAGUUCUCUUGGGGAUACCCUGUCUGGAGAGUGAUACAGUAUGCAGAUGUGGUAGGGACAUCUACCACAGUCAUUCAUUUUGUAUUCUGAUCAUGUAUCGAGUGAUGGGAACCGUGGGGGAGUCUCCAGAGAAUGGGGAGAAAAGAAUAUCCAUGACAACUGCAUGCGAGUCCAGAACAACAGUGGAGUAAUUAAAGAGAACUGAGGAGAAAGUGAGGGAAUCAGGCAGCAUAAGGGAGGUAAGCCAAAAAAAAAAAAAAAAAAAAAAUCAGAAGGAAAGGAAAAUCGUUGGGGGUUUGGACUGGUGUGGGAAGGCUUCAUGGAUGAGGUACGUUGUGAUCCAGGAAGGCGUGUCUUCAUGGGUAUCUAUAUCUUUGGGUAAUAAAGGGCCUCCUGAAUCAGUAUCUUUCCAAAUGUUGGAGGCCCAGGAGCAUGACGAGCAGCAGUGGCUAUGCAUAAUUUUACGAAGCUUGUGCACAAGGAUCUAGAAAUUGCAGAAAUGGAAAUAAAAGAGUUGAAUUCCUAGCGCCAUAUAUGGCCUGAGCGUCAGGAGGUGGCUACGUGUGGCGGAGAAGAAAAGAAGGAGGACAGGUAGAGGAAGAGUCCACUGGGGAUUCCAAGGGAUGGAUGAAUGGAAUCCAUUCCGUCUUUCAUUAAUUUAAUGAUCACACAUGUACUGAGCACCUACUACUUCUAGGCAGUGUGCAGCAUUGAGAAUGCCAUGAUGCUUGAGACAUGGUCCCUGCCUUUGUUAAAGUCAGCGUCCCCUGGGGGAAGCAGGCAUAUACGGACACUCAGAGGCUAAAGACCAGGAAGUGCUUUUGCAACAUGUACAAAGUGUCACAGGAGACCAACUGAAGGAACAACUAACUGCUGGAAAGAGCUAAGAGGGUUGGGGAUGGCUCCCCAGGGUGCAGGUAACAGUGGAGCUGAUUUCUACAAUGACUCGGAAUGUACCCGACAGGGUAUUCCAGGGAGAGGGAAGCGGCACGAACGGGAACAUGAACUUGGGAAAGAGCGUGCCAUGUUAGUAAGAGUGCCACAAAAGUUGAGGGAAGCUGGAAACUAGUCAGAAUUGACUCGAAGUGACUCUUAAAACACUUUAAUGCCAGGCUGUAGAGAAUCAGAUUUUAUGUUGCAGGUGACAGGAAAAUCAGUACACAUUUUCAUAAGACAGUAUGGCAACCAAUAUUCCAUUCAAUUCUAAAAAGAACAUAUCCCAAGCCCUCAAGAGACUUCCCUUCCCCCCUCCCCCCAUAAAUUUGGUGAGGGGCAAGUGGAGAGAGAGGGUGAGGAGAAACAUGACCACAAAUAAUUAUGAUAUGAAUUUAGAAUAGGUUCGUUGUUGUAGGAGAGGCACAAACCAAAGGUUGUGGAAGCAUAGAUUCUCAACAGCCCGGCUUUGUCUCUGCCCAUUCAGGUCAAAGCAGGCCUGAUUUGGAGGACCAGCCAUUUCUCAUCAACUUGGUAAUAGGACCAUGAUUCUCCCUCCAACCCCCAGGAGAAGUGUUUUCAUCAGGGUCCACAGAGAGUUAUGGGGUUUAAGUCGGGAUGCCAGCAUAUAAAAAAUAUGCAAAAUCCCCCCAGAAUAAGCUUGCCAGCUCACCGUCUUGACAGGCCUCCAUGCUCUGGCCAGGGGUAUGACUCUGGGCUGUGACUCUAGGUUUUCUGUUGGUUUAGAUAAAAACUAUAAUUAGCUGCCACAAAUACAGUGAAUGUAGGAGGGGCAAGGGGAGACCCGAAUGUGAAGUGUUUUCUGGAUUCAUUUAUUUCUGGCUCCUCGUGUUGCCUCAAGUCUCUGUUCAGCUAAAUACAGUUGACGCUUGAACGACACAGGCUUGAACCGUGCGGGCCCACUUAUACUCGAAUUGUUUACAGCAGGGCGGUAUAAACAUAUUCUCUCUUCCUUAUGAUUUGCUUAAUAAUGUUUUCUUUGCUCUGGCUUACUUUAUUGUAAGAAUACAGUAUAGAAUGUAUAUAAUGUACAAAACAUGGUGCUAAUCGUCUGUUCAUGUUAUUGGCAAGGCUUCCGGCCAAGAGUAGCUGUUGGGGGGCGCCUGGGUGGCUCAGUCUAUUGAGCGUCCGACUCCGGCUCAGGUCAUGAUCUCUCGGUUCAUGAGUUGGAGCCCCGCAUUGGGCUCUGUGCUGACAGCUCAGAGCCUGGAGCCUGCUUCGGAUUCUGUGUCUCCUUCUCUCUCUGCCCCUCCCCUGCUCACACUCUGUCUCUCUCUCUCAAAAAUAAAUAAACAUGAAAAAAAUUAAAAAAAAAAAAAAGAGUAGCCGUUGGUAGUUAAGUUUUGGGGGACCCAAAAACUGGAGGUGCGUUUUCAACCGUACAGGGUUCCACGCCCCCGAACCCCCACGUUGUUUCAGGGCCAACUAUACUUAUUUUUCAAAUGUAAAGUAACACCCUAGGUGAGCCUGAACUCGAUCCUUACAGAAUACUCAGGAAUUUCAUCAGGGUUUCCCCCUAUCUCCUCCCACCCACCUCUCCCCUGUCCCCAGCAAGCACAGGUUGUAUGUCCACACCUGUGCACGUCUUUGAGCAGUGCCUCGGAAACUGGCCAGGUCCCCUUUCAGAUCACGGCCAAAAAUGUCAGCCCCUCACAUCUCACCUGUGAGCACAGGCCCCAGCCCUUUCUGGAGGAAGGAGCACCCUGCAUCAAACCCACCCAAAGGUGUCCCAGAGCCCUUCACUCACAGAAGCCUGGCAGAGAAGUCAGAGCAAGGAUGUGGCCACCACACAGACCUUUUGCAUGUAAUACACGAUUUACAGACAUCUUUCAUCCCCUCCUUUUAUUUUCUCUCCUUUUCUUUCUCUCUUGCUCUCUGUUUGACUGAGUUGCCCCAGGGCUGGUGGUUUCAAAACUAGCAGCUGCAAACUUAUGAAGGAAAAAAAAAAAAACCCAAACCACAAAAACCCUUCUUGUGAAAACUGUGUGUGCCAGUCUAAAAGCGGUAGGCCAUGCGGGAGGGAGGCCUGUUAACGUGUCAGGAGGACAGAAGCAUGGAGUGUGAAACAGCAGCAGGGUCUUUAUAGGGGGGGAGGAAUGAUAUGCGUUCAGGGCAGGGGGGAGUAGGGGACAAGGCAGGAGAGGAGUUUGGGAAGAGGGAGGAGUCCUAGCUGGCCAGGAAAACCCUCAGAGGAAUGGCUCCCUGCAUCAGCUGAGCUGUCUGAAACAGUCUGGCUUCCCAAAUGCAAAUCAGACCAGCUGUUACUUCUGGUAUCUUCCCGCAGAAGACUCAAGAUCCAGCCUCUACUCUAGGUCCACUCAAGGACUUUUGAAGCACAUAGUCACAUGUGUGACUGUGUCCCAGCUCCUGUCUCAGCCCCAUUCUCCCCAGCUAACACCCACUCGUACUCACCUAUGUAUUCACACCCUUCAGACCCCACUGAUCAAACAGAGAGAUACCUCCCCAAACCCAGCCCCAAACUCCUGCUCUAUUGCUAAUUUCAACAAAUAAGUCCAUCUAAGGGAGUGGGGAGUAGAAAGGACAUGAGGAGAAAUCCUAAGACCCUCUUAGAGAGAGCAUCAAGUCCUCGUCUGGCCCAAGACAAAGAAAGUCCUCAGAAGUUUCAUUGAGCGUGAGGUCUGGAAAGAAUUCCCAGAGUUGACAUGAAUCUGGCCAGGCCUCUUUCUCCUGACUUCUUGCCGUAGCUCCACACUAAUACCA